rnacentral:misc_RNA from 1 species
GCUAAACAAAUUUUCUAUCUAUGAAAUUUUGAUAGCUUUAAAAAGAUUCAUGGAAAAAAUAUAACAAAAGUUACAAGACAAAGAAAGCAACAAUUUUUUUCAAGAGUAAUGCUCUGAUUAACUCCAGGAUGGAUGUGCUACUGCAAACAAUGAUUGCUUAAAGAUGGCUUCUCUUUACAAAUAUGCUUCAAACGUUUUACAAGUAACUAGAAAAGUAAAGACUCAAUCAUAGCCUCCAGCAGGCGAAUAAAACACCCAAACUCAAAACAACAAGAGAUUGUAAAUUCAUCUGCAUCCUUUUCCUG